AAAGAUGUGGUAAUGGAGGCUAGGGUUUGGUGUGGAGGAAUUGGGGAAGAUGGAAAUGGGUGUGUUGAAUGUUGGGGAUGAUGAAUAAUGUGAGGAAAAGGGGGAGAAAGGGGUUUAAGGGGUGAAAAACCCGACUGGGGCCCACUUGGGGAUGCUCCGCUCUUUUCCCGCGGUCCUGGCCCGCGUCCGCGGCCUUCAAACGUGGGGGAGAGUCAGGGGACCCGCGGUCCCACCCCGCGGCCGCGGGUGGUGACCGCGGGUGUCUCCUGAGUCGGGGGCAGCUGACCCGCGGUCCCACCCCGCGGCCGCGGGUGGUGACCGCGGGCUACUGGGCGUAUUGCGCAGGCCGCUCGUUUUGCUCCGUUCUCCCUCGUCCGGACUCGGAUUUGGUCGCCGUUUGCGCUCACGGAUUCCUCUCGAGACGUACUUCAAUAUCAUAUCUUCAAAAUCCUCCAAUUAAUCCUUGAUUUUUCCUGAAAUUACUCCAAAAC
rnacentral:lncRNA from 1 species